AUUAGCAGUACGGAUAUUAGAACCGCUAUUAUCAUCUUUGUACUACCACCUUACAUCCAUUAAAGUUUUGAAUUAAUACUUCACAUGGCUUGACAGAGCAAAGUCUUAUUUUGGUAUAAACCAUCGUAAUAUUCUUCACUUGACCUUCAUGCGGGUGGGGUGUCUAAUGGCUGCCUAACUGGGACAUCAUCAUAGGGGGACUCCCCCAUGUGGCUGAAUGGCUUCCAGGGAAUUCUCCAGGUUGUCACAAGUUCAGGCACAUACCUGCACAGCACGUAACACAGCUCUGUCUUGCACAUUAAGCAAUGUCAGCAUAUGGGGCACUGAUUUCAAGGGAAUGAGAUGGAC